CACGUAGGGGGCAAGCGUUGUCCGGAUUUAUUGGGCGUAAAGAGCUCGUAGGUGGUUCGGUAAGUCAGGUGUGAAACCUCCAGGCUCAACCUGGAGACGCCACUUGAUACUGCUGUGACUGGAGUCCGGUAGGGGAGCGUGGAAUUCCUGGUGUAGCGGUGAAAUGCGCAGAUAUCAGGAAGAACACCCGUGGCUAAGGCGGUUCUCUAGUACGGUACUGACGCUGAGACGCGAAAGCGUGGGGAGCGAACAGG
rnacentral:rRNA from 1 species